CAUGUUUAUAAAUGGUAAAUAAAUUUAUUCAACACUAUAUCUAAUUCAGUCAUUUACAUUCUUACAAUAGUUUAACAAUAAGAUUUACCAAAUACGUAUAAUUACUUUUAAAACUCAAAACAUUUUUUAAAAAUAAAUUUUACGAAACAUUUAACUGAUUCUUUUCACAACUAUUAGCUAAUCUGAUUAUUUCUAUAGCACAUGUAACAACAAUUAUUUUAAUAGUUACAGCAUUACCAAACUGGCCCUUAAUUUCUUUCUAUUAUUUUGAUUUAUGAAUUGAAUUUAAAAAAAAAUCUUAUCUAUCUUUUUUAAACACCAGAGAAAAGCAUAGUAAGUUGUUCAAACAACUGAAUCAAUUUCAAACAAAUGAGCCAUUAAUACAUGUAGAUAUAUGGAAGAUAUAAAGUUUUUAGUUAUUACAAGCGUGUUUUAUUAAACCGGAUCAAUUUUGUGAUAAUUAGAUAUAUGAAUAAUGGGUUAAUUUCUUAACUUUAUGCCAUCAACAAGAUAAUGGUCGGUAAGAUAUCUCAAUUAAAAGUAUAUGUAAUCGUUUUUUUUUUUUAAUAUUACAUUAGAGAGAACAAAAUAAAUUUGGGUUUAUACAACCAAAUUUUAUCAAAAAUGUUUAACAGAAAAAUAAUCGUGAGACAUUCAUGUUGGUUCCAUUCUGACAUUCUCUUUUGAGACUGGAAUUUGUGCUUGUAGAGAUUAUUGGUGAUUCAACUUAUAAAAAUUCGGUAUGUGUUAAUAUAAUAGCUUUGUUAAUUUAGUAGUGGCUUUCAAAUAACUUUAUUUGACUAAAUGGCUCGGCGUUUGACUUUAUCUCUUUAUGGGCUUCAGGCCAACGCCCUAGAUCCUCCUCUAAAUCCUUCAACGAUGAGACUGAGUGCAUUACUUUGUCUUUAGACUACAGGUGUAUGUAAAGAGAGCUUUAAGUGCUUAUUUAAUUUCAUAAUCUUUUUAUCA
rnacentral:lncRNA from 1 species